AAAUUUGAUUGUAAACUGAGUUAUUAUUGUAUAUUAACUUGAACUGUUGUAUGCCCACUUGUAAUGCCAAUGUAUGUGCCGUAUUAAACAAUAAAUUUAAGACAUCGAAAUACAUCUCAUAGGGAAAAGAUCAAAGAUAAAGAUAGUUAGAAAGAAAAGACCACAUUAGAAAACUUUGAAGGGUAAAAUAUUAUAAAUAACAAGAAAGAGGAACCUAAUAUAAAUUACACAUCCAAUAAGUUUAUAAAUAAAUUAGGUAAUGUAUGAUGAAUCAUACAAGCAUGAAGCAUCUUGAAAGCAAACUUAUGCUCUUUGGAAUGAAUCCAUUUUUAUUUUUGAAUAGAAAACCAUUGAUAUGAGUUUCUUCAUUAUUCGUGCGAAGCAUGAAAAACAAGGGAACGAGGUAGUACAUCUGAAAUACUGAAAUCACGAGGAAUUAACUUAUGCAUAAUAGGGUUUUAGCAACCUUUAAUUUGUUGUCAUAAUACACAAAGACAUCCACCUUUUUUAUACUCCCCGACACCUUAAAUCGUUAGUUAUAACAUAGAUACUGCAAGUACAACAAAUCCAGCAAUCGGUAAGGCAAUCAUCGUCGGAGGUACAACUUCUAUAACAAGUAGCAAGUUGUGGAAGUAGUCUUUUCUUGAGUCCCGAGAGAUUAUGAUCAACAUCUGGUGCAGCUACAACUUGUGUCUUUGAGAAGCUUGGCAUAUUAACUGAAAUAUUUCACCGUUAUAAUCAUUGAAAUUAAAUUUUGACUAAUAUAGCAUCACAAGCACACAUUUAAAUGUCAUGCAUAUUCAUGUAUACAAUAUAUGUGUCGCAUGUAUGUGUGUGUAUGCAACAAAUAGAGAUAAAGAAGAAUAGUUACUCACUAGUGGUAACCAUGAGAAGAAUAGUGAUAACAGAACAAAGUUUAAGCAGCGCCAUAUCAAAAAUUUUACUUCAAAGUUUUUCUAUGAGCAUCUCAUUGUCUUUCGAUGAACGUAAUUUAUAGGCCUCCUCUAUAAAUGGACCAGCUUCUCUAGCAUGUACUAUAGUUUAUUUUUUUCUUUAUUAUCUAUUUUUAGGUCUUAUAUUCAAGGCUUGUAUGUGCUAGCCUUUUUUCUAAUUAAUACAAUUUAUAACUUAAUAAAGUCUCUUCAUUUUCACAGCUUCCAAAAAGAUUAAUUAUACAUUCCAAUAGAUACAGAAUGAAACAUUUUGACCAAGAAGUACUACACC
rnacentral:lncRNA from 1 species